CUCUAACCCAGGCUGAGAGUAGCUGCUGUUUCUGGGAGGACGAUUCGUGAGGAGGCCCUUGGCGCGGUUUUCCUUUCCUCUCCCUUCUGCGGGCCCUGGCGUACUUCAGCUGUGCCUAGAGCGUGGUGUGUUUUCGUCUACCUGCCCGACUUUCUGCAGAAGGUGCCUUUCGUUGGCCCAAUAGUUCCUUGUCGAAAGUGCCGGCCCCCGUGCCGGCACCGGCCGUAGCCGGGUGGGAAGGCUCAAGAUGGCGUGCCUGUUGGAGACCCCAAUCCGCAUGAGCGUCCUCUCGGAAGUAACAGCUAGCAGUCGCCACUAUGUUGACAGGCUAUUUGACCCUGAUCCCCAGAAAGUUCUACAAGGUGUCAUAGACAUGAAAAAUGCUGUAAUUGGAAACAACAAGCAGAAAGCCAAUCUCAUUGUUUUAGGAGCUGUUCCAAGAUUGUUGUACUUGCUUCAGCAAGAAACCUCAAGUACAGAGCUGAAAACUGAAUGUGCAGUGGUAUUGGGAAGUCUUGCUAUGGGUACUGAAAACAAUGUCAAGUCUCUUUUAGAUUGCCAUAUUAUCCCUGCCUUACUGCAAGGACUACUAUCUCCAGACCUGAAGUUCAUUGAAGCUUGCCUCCGAUGCCUGCGAACCAUCUUCACCAGUCCCGUCACUCCAGAGGAGCUACUAUAUACAGAUGCCACAGUGAUACCACAUCUCAUGGCGCUACUUAGCAGGUCCCGCUACACCCAGGAGUACAUCUGUCAGAUCUUCUCACACUGCUGUAAAGGUCCAGAUCAUCAAACAAUUUUAUUUAACCAUGGUGCAGUUCAGAAUAUUGCUCACCUACUAACCUCAGUAUCUUACAAAGUUCGAAUGCAAGCACUGAAAUGCUUCUCAGUUUUAGCUUUUGAAAACCCCCAGGUAUCGAUGACCCUGGUAAAUGUUUUGGUUGAUGGAGAAUUGUUACCACAAAUUUUUGUGAAGAUGUUACAGAGGGAUAAGCCUAUUGAGAUGCAGCUGACGUCAGCAAAAUGUUUAACUUACAUGUGUAGAGCUGGAGCAAUUCGGACAGAUGACAACUGUAUUGUAUUAAAGACACUGCCUUGUUUGGUUCGAAUGUGCAGUAAGGAGAGAUUACUAGAGGAGAGAGUUGAAGGAGCUGAGACACUCGCCUAUCUGAUUGAACCAGAUGUUGAGCUACAGAGAAUCGCUAGCAUAACUGAUCACCUCAUUGCCAUGCUUGCUGAUUAUUUCAAGUAUCCCAGCUCAGUGAGUGCCAUCACUGAUAUUAAAAGGCUUGAUCAUGACUUAAAACACGCUCAUGAACUCCGCCAGGCUGCAUUCAAGCUCUAUGCCUCUCUAGGAGCAAAUGAUGAAGACAUCCGGAAGAAGAUCAUUGAGACUGAAAAUAUGAUGGACCGAAUUGUGACUGGCUUGUCUGAGUCUAGUGUCAAGGUGCGGUUAGCUGCCGUCAGAUGUUUGCACAGUUUAUCUAGAUCUGUGCAGCAGCUUCGAACCAGUUUCCAGGAUCAUGCUGUGUGGAAACCUUUAAUGAAGGUUUUACAAAAUGCACCAGAUGAAAUCCUAGUAGUAGCAUCUUCCAUGCUAUGUAAUCUUCUUCUUGAAUUUUCUCCAAGCAAAGAGCCAAUUUUAGAAUCUGGAGCUGUAGAACUACUUUGUGGAUUAACGCAAAGUGAAAAUCCCGCUUUGCGAGUGAAUGGAAUUUGGGCUUUAAUGAAUAUGGCAUUUCAGGCUGAACAAAAAAUAAAAGCAGAUAUUUUACGAAGCUUGAGUACUGAACAGCUAUUCCGGUUAUUAUCAGAUUCAGAUUUGAAUGUGCUGAUGAAAACAUUGGGACUUCUUAGAAAUCUCCUCUCUACUCGGCCUCAUAUAGAUAAAAUAAUGAGUACUCAUGGAAAGCAAAUUAUGCAAGCCGUCACCCUUAUUCUGGAAGGGGAGCAUAACAUUGAGGUCAAAGAGCAGACACUGUGCAUCUUAGCCAACAUAGCAGAUGGGACAACAGCAAAAGAACUUAUUAUGACCAAUGAUGACAUCCUGCAGAAAAUCAAGUAUUACAUGGGUCAUUCACAUGUGAAACUGCAGCUGGCCGCUAUGUUUUGUAUAUCAAACCUCAUAUGGAAUGAAGAGGAAGGUUCACAAGAACGCCAGGAUAAGUUACGAGACAUGGGCAUCGUAGAUAUUCUACACAAACUGAGUCAGUCACCAGAUUCAAACCUUUGUGACAAGGCAAAAAUGGCACUGCAGCAGUACCUGGCGUGAUGGGAGCGCCCCGGGCACCUGCAAGCAUCCCCCGUCCUUGUUCAAGGAAGUACAGGAACUAGCCUCAUUUGAUUCCUUCUAUUUGCACAAGUCACCUUGGACUGCAGGGAGCUGUUUUGCAAAAGCAAUUUGAUGAGGGACCUGGGGCCCAGAAAGGUAACUUUCCCAAGGCUAUUCAGCUGACAACUAGCGGAGCCAGGAUUCCAAACCCAGGAUGGUCUUGUCUCCAGUGCCCUUGAGCCCUGACCCUUAGCAGAGACAGUGAUGGGUAAGUUGGAAGCACACUGUGCUCCUGACAACUGAGGAGGACUGACACAUCAAACAAAUGAGCAGCACAUCAGCACCCCGACAAGGCUGCUUCAGAAUCAUGCUCUCAGGAGGCUGGCUAUUUAUCCCUGGGAUGUGUCUGGGCUCAGACCCCUGUGGAACUGUCCGCUUCGCUCAUUAUCACCUGGGGCCCAAACGUCAGGCUCGGGAUCUCCCAACACUCUCCUCAGCAGCUCUGAUGAGUAUUCCCCAGCCGGGCCACUCUCCUCCUUCCCCAGACUGGGCCCUGAGUUAUUCUACUUGUCUCCAAUCGCCCCCCAAAGGAUGAAGACGUGCCAUGACCCUGGACACAUAAGGAAAUGCAUCAGGGGAGCUCUGUGAGGGCAGGUCCCUCAAGGAAAGCAGGCCCCGGUCACCAGAGUGAGAUUUCCUCCCAGCAGGGGAAUGGCUUUGAAGAACCACACACAUCACACACUUGCAUGUGUCAAACUGGGUCUCUUUGAUCCUUAUAAAGCCACACUUCCGUGCUCUCUCUACUCUACACCCCACCGCCGCACCCAGCUUGCCCCUCAGCUGGCAGCAGGCAGCCACAAGGAUUGAAUGAGGGCCGGCUUGGGCCAGCUCCUGUGCCAUCUUCCAUUGCCCUCAGGCCACCUAUUCUUACUCAGCUGGAUUCAGAUCUUGAGGAGACUGUGAACAUAGCAAACAUUUAGGAUACUCACCCCCUGGCCCCUCCCACCUCACCUCAAGCUCAGACCACGGAUACCCAACUCGGCAGCAGGAGCAUCAUAGGCCAGGCCUAGUUCUACUUGUGGAGUGGGUGUCGUGUGACAUUCUCCUGAGAGAGGAUCUUACUAAUGCAAAAUGCAGAAGGUCCAGGCCAACCUCCAUCCUCAUCUUCUGG